rnacentral:misc_RNA from 1 species
CGAACAGAGUUAAACCGGGUAAAA